GUACCAGACAAAUGAAACUGAUUGGUUUCCGAGUUGCGAAAUGGAUGUGAGAGAGCUAAUGGGUCAAGGAAAAUGUUUAUAAGAGAGCCCAAGUGAACAGAAGUCCAAAAGGUAAAGAUAAUCACAUGGAAACCCUUGGCAUUCAGUCCUCUGAUGGAAAACCUGAGUCCUUUUUUCCAUUCAUCUAUGUCCAGUGAAGAGCUCUGAAACAACUAUAAUGGAUCCAGAAAGUGAUGGUGAUAGGGUAUCACUUUAAUCUAACUUCCAUGUGACAAUUUUUUAAAUAUUUGAAGACACUUGUCACUUUGUACCCUACUCCCAACUCUGAAAUCUCCCCACAUUAAAAAUAACAGUGACUUCAACUGAUCUUCUUAUGUUAUGGCUUUGAAUCCUUUGGUUGUAUUGGUUAUUCUCUUUUGGAUGCAUCCCAUUUUGUACUUAUUCUUCCAAGAAUGAGG